rnacentral:rRNA from 1 species
GCUUACGCCUACCACCCUGAACACGCCCGAUCUCGUCUGAUCUCGGAAGCUAAGCAGGGUCGGGCCUGGUCAGUACUUGGAUGGGAGACCGCCUGGGAAUACCAGGUGCUGUAAGCU